GACAGAGGUGCCGAGCGUUAGGCGGAAUCACUGGGCUUAAAGCGUGUGUAGGCGGGUGCCUAAGUACCUUGUGAAAUCCCACGGCUCAACCGUGGAACUGCUCGGUAUACUGGGUGCCUUGAGCCAACUAGGGGCGACCGGAACAAACGGUGGAGCGGUGAAAUGCGUAGAUAUCGGGAAGAACACCAGUGGCGAAGGCGGCUGCCUGGCCUGUAACUGACGCUGAGACGCGAAAGCGUGGGGAGCGAACCGG
rnacentral:rRNA from 1 species